CAUGUAGGCGGCUUAAUAAGUCGAGCGUGAAAAUGCGGGGCUCAACCCCGUAUGGCGCUGGAAACUGUUAGGCUUGAGUGCAGGAGAGGAAAGGGGAAUUCCCAGUGUAGCGGUGAAAUGCGUAGAUAUUGGGAGGAACACCAGUGGCGAAGGCGCCUUUCUGACUGUGUCUGACGCUGAGAUGCGAAAGCCAGGGUAGCGAACG
rnacentral:rRNA from 1 species